UCCGUAGGUGAACCUGCGGAAGGAUCAUUACCGAGUGCGGGAACCCAGUCGGGUCCCAAUCUCCCACCCGUGUCUACCACACCUAGUGUUGCUUUGGCGGGCCCACUCCUCCGGUGUUCCGCCGGGGGGGUCGUCCCGGGGCGCGGUGUGCCCCCGGGGCCCGUGCCCGCCAGAGGCACUCACUGUGAACGCUUUUGUGAAUGCGAGGAUUGUCUGAGUGACGAAAUGCAAUCGUUCAAAACUUUCAACAAUGGAUCUCUUGGUUCCGGCAUCGAUGAAGAACGCAGCGAAAUGCGAUAAGUAAUGUGAAUUGCAGAAUUCCGUGAAUCAUCGAAUCUUUGAACGCACAUUGCGCCCUCUGGUAUUCCGGGGGGCAUGCCUGUCCGAGCGUCAUUGCGAACCCUCAAGCACGGCUUGUGUGUUGGGCCGCCGUCCCCUCGUUUGGAGGGGACGGGCCUGAAAGGCAGCGGCGGCGUCGCGUCCGGUCCUCGAGCGUAUGGGGCUCUGUCACGCGCUCAAGGAGGGGUCCGGCCGGGGCCAUAGCCUCUGAAGGUCAAUUCUUCCAAGGUUGACCUCGGAUCAGGUAGGAGUACCCGCUGAACUUAAGCAUAUCAAUAAGCGGAGGA
rnacentral:rRNA from 2 species